rnacentral:tRNA from 1 species
GAAAAUGUGCCCGAAAGUUAAGGCUCUCCUUGAUAGGGAGGUUUAUAGAGGUUCAAACCCUCUCAUUUUCU